rnacentral:rRNA from 1 species
GACGUAGGGCGCGAGCGUUGUCCGGAUUUAUUGGGCGUAAAGAGCUCGUAGGCGGUUUGUCGCGUCUGCUGUGAAAACCCGAGGCUCAACCUCGGGCCUGCAGUGGGUACGGGCAGACUAGAGUGCGGUAGGGGAGAUUGGAAUUCCUGGUGUAGCGGUGGAAUGCGCAGAUAUCAGGAGGAACACCGAUGGCGAAGGCAGAUCUCUGGGCCGUAACUGACGCUGAGGAGCGAAAGCAUGGGGGAGCGAACAGG